rnacentral:misc_RNA from 1 species
CUUCAGGGACGCCCGCCAAGGCAGAAACCCGGAAAAUCCGGGUUUCUGCCUUGGCGGGCGUCACCCACA